rnacentral:pre_miRNA from 1 species
UUGAUACUCCCUCUGUCCGGAAAUACUUGUCCAAAAAAUGGAUGUAUCUAGACUUACUUUAGUUAUGCGCAAAAAAAAUAAAAAAAUAGACUUACUUUAGUUAUAGAUACAUUCAUUUUAUCCAUUUCGAGGACAAGUAUUUUCGGACGGGGAGUAGUAA